AUUGAACGCUGGCGGCAGGCCUAACACAUGCAAGUCGAGCGGAUGACGGGAGCUUGCUCCUUGAUUCAGCGGCGGACGGGUGAGUAAUGCCUAGGAAUCUGCCUGGUAGUGGGGGACAACGUUUCGAAAGGAACGCUAAUACCGCAUACGUCCUACGGGAGAAAGCAGGGGACCUUCGGGCCUUGCGCUAUCAGAUGAGCCUAGGUCGGAUUAGCUUGUUGGUGAGGUAAUGGCUCACCAAGGCGACGAUCCGUAACUGGUCUGAGAGGAUGAUCAGUCACACUGGAACUGAGACACGGUCCAGACUCCUACGGGAGGCAGCAGUGGGGAAUAUUGGACAAAGGGCGAAAGCCUGAUCCAGCCACGCCGCGUGUGUGAAGAAGGUCUUCGGAUUGUAAAGCACUUUAAGUUGGGAGGAAGGGUUGUAGAUUAAUACUCUGCAAUUUUGACGUUACCGACAGAAUAAGCACCGGCUAACUCUGUG
rnacentral:rRNA from 1 species